rnacentral:rRNA from 1 species
UGGCUCAGGAUGAACGCUGGCGGCGCACAUAAGACAUGCAAGUCGAACGGAAGUCGUUAUACUGAUUUUGAUAAGAACGGAGAACUUGUUCAAAGGGACUUGAUGAAGAUUUAUAACAAUGGCUUUAGUGGCGGACUGGUGAGUAAUACGUAAGCAACCUGCCUAUCAGAGGGGAACAACAGUUAGAAAUGACUGCUAAUACCGCAUAUGCCAUAGUAACCACAUGGUUACAGUGGGAAAGGAGCAAUCCGCUGAUAGAUGGGCUUACGGCUGAUUAGCUAGUUGGUGGGGUAACGGCCUACCAAGGCGACGAUCAGUAGCCGGACUGAGAGGUUCAACGGCCACAUUGGGACUGAGAUACGGCCCAGACUCCUACGGGAGGCAGCAGUGGGGAAUA